rnacentral:rRNA from 1 species
AUUGAACGCUGGCGGCAUGCCUAACACAUGCAAGUCGAACGGGGGCAGCAAUGCCCUAGUGGCGGACGGGUGAGGAAUACGUAGGAACCGGCCCACGAGUGGGGGACAACCUGGGGAAACCCAGGCUAAUACCGCAUACGCUCGCGAGAGGAAAGCGGGGGGACCUUCGGGCCUCGCGCUGGUGGACGGGCCUACGUCCGAUUAGCUUGUUGGUGGGGUAAAAGCCUACCAAGGCGACGAUCGGUAGCUGGUCUGAGAGGAUGAUCAGCUACACUGGGACUGAGACACGGCCCAGACUCCUACGGGAGGCAGCAGUGGGGAAUAUUGGACAAUGGGCGCAAGCCUGAUCCAGCAAUGCCGCGUGGGUGAAGAAGGCCUGCGGGUUGUAAAGCCCUUUAAGCGGGGAGGAAAGCCGGGGGGUGGAAUAGCGCCUCGGGGUGACGUUACCCGCAGAAUAAGCACCGGCUAACUCCGUGCCAGCAGCCGCGGUAAU